ACAGCUCUGGCAUUUGUUCAAUAAGACCAGUAUCAGCCUCCUGUAUUCUGACUGCAGACUGGCAUUGCUCAGGCCUGAAAAAGAUGGAGCAGCCACAGGAGUAGAUGCCAUCUGCACUCAUCAUGCAGACCCAACUGGACCUGGGCUGGACAAUGAACGGGUAUUCUGGGAACUGAGCAAUCUGACCAACAAGGUUACUCAGCUGGGUCCUUACACCUUAGACAAGAACAGCCUUUACAUCAAUGGUUAUACACACCAGAUCCAGUACACCACAUCUCCAAGUGAGUAUUCAGAGGCUCAUCAAGUCUCUCCUAUGCU